UGCAGUCGAACGGCAGCGCGAGAGAGCUUGCUCUCUUGGCGGCGAGUGGCGGACGGGUGAGUAAUAUAUCGGAACGUGCCCAGUAGCGGGGGAUAACUACUCGAAAGAGUGGCUAAUACCGCAUACGCCCUACGGGGGAAAGGGGGGGAUCGCAAGACCUCUCACUAUUGGAGCGGCCGAUAUCGGAUUAGCUAGUUGGUGGGGUAAAGGCUCACCAAGGCAACGAUCCGUAGCUGGUUUGAGAGGACGACCAGCCACACUGGGACUGAGACACGGCCCAGACUCCUACGGGAGGCAGCAGUGGGGAAUUUUGGACAAUGGGGGAAACCCUGAUCCAGCCAUCCCGCGUGUAUGAUGAAGGCCUUCGGGUUGUAAAGUACUUUUGGCAGAGAAGAAAAGGUAUCCCCUAAUACGGGAUACUGCUGACGGUAUCUGCAGAAUAAGCACCGGCUAACUACGUGCCAGCAGCCGCGGUAAUACGUAGGGUGCAAGCGUUAAUCGGAAUUACUGGGCGUAAAGCGUGUGUAGGCGGUUCGGAAAGAAAGAUGUGAAAUCCCAGGGCUCAACCUUGGAACUGCAUUUUUAACUGCCGAGCUAGAGUAUGUCAGAGGGGGGUAGAAUUCCACGUGUAGCAGUGAAAUGCGUAGAUAUGUGGAGGAAUACCGAUGGCGAAGGCAGCCCCCUGGGAUAAUACUGACGCUCAGACACGAA
rnacentral:rRNA from 1 species